ACGAACGCUGGCGGCAUGCCUAACACAUGCAAGUCGAACGAGACCUUCGGGUCUAGUGGCGCACGGGUGCGUAACGCGUGGGAACCUGCCCUUAGGUUCGGAAUAACUCCCCGAAAGGGGUGCUAAUACCGGAUAAUGUCUUCGGAUCAAAGAUUUAUCGCCUUUGGAUGGGCCCGCGUUGGAUUAGCUAGUUGGUAGGGUAAAAGCCUACCAAGGCGACGAUCCAUAGCUGGUCUGAGAGGAUGAUCAGCCACACUGGGACUGAGACACGGCCCAGACUCCUACGGGAGGCAGCAGUGGGGAAUAUUGGACAAUGGGCGAAAGCCUGAUCCAGCAAUGCCGCGUGAGUGAUGAAGGCCUUAGGGUUGUAAAGCUCUUUUACCCGGGAUGAUAAUGACAGUACCGGGAGAAUAAGCUCCGGCUAACUCCGUG
rnacentral:rRNA from 1 species